AAAUGUCAGGGUCAAAAGGCCAUAAACCACAUUGUGCUUGCAUAUAAGGGGUUUUAUGCCUUUAUGAUCCGCUCCCAAAAUGAGAAUGAAAGUGGGGUGUACGCACCACGAUAUUUGAAUUUUGGGGCAGGAUUGUGAGAGCAUGAAGUGCGGAACAAUCCGCAGACAUGC
rfam:Firmicutes bacterium CAG:424 genomic scaffold, scf61